rnacentral:rRNA from 1 species
CCUACGGGAGGCAGCAGUAGGGAAUCUUCCGCAAUGGACGAAAGUCUGACGGAGCAACGCCGCGUGAACGAUGAAGGCCUUCGGGUCGUAAAGUUCUGUUGUUAGGGAAGAACAAGUGCUAGUUAAAUAAGCUGGCACCUUGACGGUACCUAACCAGAAAGCCACGGCUAACUACGUGCCAGCAGCCGCGGUAAUACGUAGGUGGCAAGCGUUGUCCGGAAUUAUUGGGCGUAAAGCGCGCGCAGGCGGUUUCUUAAGUCUGAUGUGAAAGCCCCCGGNUCAACCGGGGAGGGUCAUUGGAAACUGGGAAACUUGAGUGCAGAAGAGGAAAGUGGAAUUCCAAGUGUAGCGGUGAAAUGCGUAGAGAUUUGGAGGAACACCAGUGGCGAAGGCGACUUUCUGGUCUGUAACUGACGCUG